ensembl:lncRNA
GCGGUGUGGCAGGGCGGGCCGUGCUCGGCGCGCCAUUGGCUGCCAUCCCGAUCCUUUGCAUACGGGGCGGGGUUGCGGGGCCCUGCCGGGGCCCGUCGGGGGUGCGAAGGUGGCCGCGGUUGCCGCAGAAGUUGGUCCGAGAACCCGCGACGGCCCGCGCCGGGGUCGCAGGGCCCUCAGGACCGCCUCCUCGAGGUCACCGCGCCCAGGGAAGCCUGUGGCAGGCACAGGUGUUGUGAUCUUCUGCUAACAGGACCCACCUCCUGAGGGCCACCUUGGGACUCCCGACAGGAAGACAGCGGCCGCUUUACCUCUUCUCCAUUUCUGCCACUUCCAUGAGGCGGUCAGGACAGUGGGCCUGUUGGUGGGGUCCAGGAAAGACCCCACUCAGAGUCCUCCGUGGAAGUGUGGACUAGGAGUGUGCCUAGAACAGCUCCUGGCAGGGCGAAACACCCUAGGCAGCCCCUGUCCCGGCUGGGCGGGGGCAGGGCCCUGUAGUGGGAGUGCAGGCAUCCUAGAGGGACCCUUUGUGGUCACCACAGCAGGCUCUGCAGGUGAGGGGAGGCUGUGUAGCCUUGGGGCUGAGGACCUGCAGAGCUUACUCCCUGCAGCUGCGUUCUGUGGGUGACUCUCAAUGAACCGGGGUUCUCACUUCAGUGCUGGGCAUGAGCAGGAACGGUGAGAGCAGGACAGGCUCCAGCAUGGUCCACAGCACAGCCCGACCUCAUCCUCUUCCUGGACUGCCCAGUGGGGAGGCAGUGGCUACCGUGGGAUCCCUUCGCAGCAUUGCCUGGGAAGAUGACCUGCCCUGCAGGGCGCCGUGGGAUCUCAGCACCUCCACACUUCCCACAGCUCACACCAUUGUCUUCAAAGCAAAAUUUAAAACUCAAAAGUAAACUUUUCAGCAACUAGAAGGUUUGCUUAGUAAUCCAAAGCACUCUGGCAACUUUGGGGGGGCAUGGGACUCUUUCUACCUGGAACAACUGUGUCAGAAAAGAGCUCUCCCUGGCCCCACCUGGACACGGUGCCAUUGGGGAGUUUUUUCAGAGCCAGGAGCCCAUCAGGGCCCACACAGUGGCUUCAGAACAAACAGGUGGCCCUCAGGAGGACACAGGCAGUGUGUGUGCGGUGUGUGGCUUGGAAACACCGUAGCUUAGAGAUGGAGCACGUGGUGUGGAGCCCCUGGGUGGCACCUGCCAUGCCCCUGCUGGCCUGUGUCCUUAGCUGGCUCAGGGCUAGUGCCCAGAGGAGCAUCCAGACCUGCGUGUGGACAGGGACUAUGGUGAGGGAAGCAGUCCCCUCGGUCCCAGCCUUCCCACCCAGGGUGCACCCCUGCUGGCCUUUGUGCUUGAGGCUCCAUGCCAUGUGUGUCUGUGCCUGGCCCACCAGUCUGGGCCCAUGGGCCCAGCAGAUGUAGGCUGCAGCAGGCUUGGGGAGGAGGAGGUGCAGAUAGGAGCAGUCAGCGGGGCAUGCUGGCUGUGGACACCAGUUGGAAGCCUCCUGCUGCCCAGCCUCCCCCAUUUGCACCUCCCUGCCCCAGGCAGGAAAUAGCCAGUCCUGCUUGCUCCACAUAGCAGUGGGCUCCUAGUGGCCCUGGCCUUUGAGGAGCCUUCCCUGGCACCCAUGGGUGGCCUCCUUGCUCCUCCUACUCAGGACUUCCAUGUCCCCUGCCACCUACCCCAGAGGAAGUGGCCCACACCAGAACCAGCUCAGGAGUCCAUCUCAAAUAUCCCCUAUCCUUGAAUCUGGCAAAAGACCCCCUGAUCUAGGGCAGCGAUGAACCUUUUAGAGCUUUCAAUGAUAAACAGCUCACUGCAGCACACAUACCAUAGGUUCACCACCACUGAUCUAGGGUGACCCUAUCCCCUGUCCGCCAGUACCACCCAUGGCUGCACCAGGGCUGUCCCAGGUCAUGCUUAUCAUAAAGAUCUCUAACCCCAGCCAUCGGAGCUGGGAGUGUGCAGUCCACCUGAGGAUCUGGGUCCUGGGAGAGGCCAUAACCAACUCAAGGGCCAAGGCAGUCGCUAAGCUGGGCUAUGGAGUCUACCCUGCCCUGAUUUCAAAGUUGCUGCCUCCCAGCAAAGGCUUCAUAGGAACUUGGGGAGAAGGGAAACAGCCCUCUUCACACCAUGCC